AAAAAAAACAAAGAUCUCCAUUCUCUAAAGUAGUCAUGAGUCAAUGCCACCAAAAUAAGACAACAAUAUCAAAGUUUGUGAAACUUGAAAAAGACUAGACGGAUUUUUCAUUUUCUCAUUUUUUUUUAUUUUUCCAGUUGGCCUACUUCAAUCUUUCAAAUUUUUAUCAAUUUUAAAAUUCAACAAUUUAGUCAGAAUUCUCCUGCCGUUGAUGAUCCCACUGUUUCUCUCUCAUCACUCUCUCUCUAAAACAAUACCACCGGCACCAAUUCUACCUGCCGGCCAACAUCCCUCUCUCUCUACACUCACCGGAAAAUCUCACCGAUCACAUCUUCAUUCUCUCCUAUUUCUCACACCGGUUCAAUCUACGCGAUUGAAUCGGUGAAGUUAAGAUUUGUUACAUCGGUGUGGUGGAUUUAGGUUUUUGAAGUGAGUUUGUUCACUUUGUUGAGAUUGAUUGACUGAUUUUGACUUUUGGAAGUUGAAUUAGGGUUUCUAGGGUUAAUGAGUGAUUGAUUUGGUGAGGAUUGACUGAUUUUGACUUUUGGAAGUUGAAUUAGGGUUUCUAGGGUUAAUGAGUGGUUGAUUUUGGUGAGGAUAUUGAGAUGUCGAAUUCGAAAGUGGUGUAUGAAGGAUGGAUGGUGAGAUAUGGGAGGAGGAAGAUUGGAAGAUCGUUUAUACAUAUGAGGUAUUUUGUUCUUGAGUCAAGGUUGCUUGCUUAUUACAAGAGGAAGCCUCAAGAUAAUGUGGUUCCGAUUAAAACGCUGGUUAUUGAUGGCAACUGUAGAGUUGAGGACAGAGGGUUGAAGACUCAGCAUGGACAUAUGGUUUAUGUUUUAUCGAUUUACAACAAGAAGGAGAAAUACCAUCGGAUUACGAUGGCAGCUUUUAACAUCCAGGAGGCACUUAUCUGGAAAGAAAAAAUUGAGUCUGUUAUUGAUCAGCAUCAGGAGUCACUAGUUGCCAAUGGGAAUAAAUACGUUUCUUUUGAAUAUAAGUCUGGGAUGGAUAGUGGAAGAAAUGCUUCUUCAUCAGAUCAAGAAAGCCAGUACAGUGCAGCUGAAGAUGAAGAAGAUUCACGGCCAAGUUUGAUGCGAAGAACAACCAUUGGAAAUGGCCCUCCUGAAUCUAUUCUGGACUGGACCCAAGAAAGUUCAACAUUGGCAAGCCAGAAUACCAACAAUCAAGCAUUUUCAAGGAAACAUUGGCGGCUUCUUCAAUGCCAAAAUGGACUUCGUAUCUUCGAAGAGCUUCUAGAAGUUGACUUCCUUCCAAAGAGCUGUAGUAGGGCUAUGAAGGCUGUUGGUGUUGUGGAAGCCAGCUGUGAAGAAAUAUUUGAGCUUGUAAUGAGCAUGGAUGGAACACGCUCUGAGUGGGAUUGUAGUUUUCAAGAUGGUAGCUUGGUUGAGGAGGUUGAUGGACAUACAGCAAUUCUAUAUCACCGGCUUCAGCUCGAUUGGUUCCCCACAUUUGUGUGGCCACGCGACCUUUGUUAUGUACGGUAUUGGCGCCGAAAUGAUGACGGGAGUUAUGUUGUACUAUUUUGCUCAAGGGAGCAUGAGAACUGUGGUCCACAACCUGGAUAUGUGCGCGCUCAUAUUGAGAGUGGAGGGUUUAAUAUUUCGCCUUUGAAACCCCGAAAUGGACGGCCCAGGACACAGGUUCAGCAUCUUAUGCAAAUUGAUUUAAAGGGAUGGGGUGUGGGUUAUGUUUCAUCGUUUCAGCAACAUUGCUUGCUACAGAUGUUAAAUAGUGUUGCUGGCCUGCGGGAAUAUUUUGCUCAAACUGAUGAAAGGAUUGCUCCACCUAGAAUUCCUGUUAUGGUUAAUAUGGCAUCGCGUUCUGUCCCUACAAAAAAGUCACAAAAGAUCAAUUUGACAUCUGUUCAUAAUCGAAGUCAAUCUCUUGAUAAUGCUGCGAAAAUGAUGGAUGAAUACUCAGAUGAAGAUGAAGAUUUCCAAAUCCCUGAUGAAGAGGCGUAUGCCAUUGAGCAGGAGACCAAACGCACCGCCUUUGAAGAAGAACCUGUUGUUGAAAUUGAUUUAUCUCUUUUUUCGGGUAAUCUUCGGCGAGAUGAUAACGAAAAUAGCCGUGAUUGUUGGAGAAUUUCUGAUGGAAACAAUUUUAAACUUCGUAGCAAGCGCUUUUGCUAUGAUAAGUCGAAGAUGCCUGGAGGCAAACCGCUUAUGGAUCUUGUUGCUGUUGACUGGUUUAAAGAUACCAAGCGAAUGGACCAUGUUGCUAGACGCCCGGGUUGUGCCGCACAAGUUGCCUCUCAAAAAGGACAUUUUUGCUUAGUGUUUAAUCUUCAGGUACCUGGUUCAACCAACUACAGCAUGGUUUUCUACUUUGUGACCAAGGAAUUAGCAGAGGGCUCUCUCUUGCAACGGUUUGUUGAUGGUGAUGAUGAGUUUCGCAAUAGUAGGAUGAAACUCAUACCAUCAGUCCCUAAGGGGUCCUGGAUAGUGAGGCAGAGUGUUGGAAGCACUCCUUGUCUUUUGGGAAAAGCGGUUGACUGCAACUAUAUCCGUGGUGCCAAUUACUUAGAAGUUGAUGUGGACAUUGGUUCUUCUACUGUGGCUAAUGGAGUCUUGGGUCUUGUAGUUGGUGUUAUCACUAGCCUCGUGGUUGACAUGGCUUUCCUUGUACAGGCAAACACAACCGAUGAAUUGCCAGAGCGACUUAUAGGUGCUGUUAGAGUUUCCCAUCUAGAGCUAAAGUCUGCAAUUGUUCCCAAAUUGGAACCAGAUCCAGAACCAUAAACUGAUUUGCUUUAACGCGGUACAUAAAGAUUGUCCUGAAAUCUAGCAGCAACAGACUUGCAGGCCAGCAGCAAACUGAGUGGACAAUGUAAAGUAAUUACUUUAAAGAUAAUGAACAUCAGAAGCUGGAACAUGACUUUUGCUUUCAUAGACCAAAUUCAUUUCAAUACUUUCAAGAUACACUUGUAAGUGCUGACAGUUUUCUUACCUUGCGUGACCGCCCCCAGCCACACACACACCCAGAAAAGGUUAGUCUUGAACUUUAUAGGUUUUGAUCCAUUUCUGUAUGAAAAUAAUAAUGAAUCUGAAAUUUGUAUUUAUUUAUACCACACUCGGUACAUAGCUGUGAAAGUUAGUAGAUCAAAAGUUCUUGACUCGUUAGAAUGUUGAGAAAGUUCAUCA